rnacentral:rRNA from 1 species
GCGAACGCUGGCGGCAGGCUUAACACAUGCAAGUCGAGCGGGCACUUCGGUGUCAGCGGCAGACGGGUGAGUAACACGUGGGAACGUGCCCUUCGGUUCGGAAUAACUCAGGGAAACUUGAGCUAAUACCGGAUACGCCCUUUUGGGGAAAGGUUUACUGCCGAAGGAUCGGCCCGCGUCUGAUUAGCUAGUUGGUGGGUAAUGGCCUACCAAGGCGACGAUCAGUAGCUGGUCUGAGAGGAUGAUCAGCCACACUGGGACUGAGACACGGCCCAGACUCCUACGGGAGGCAGCAGUGGGGAAUAUUGGACAAUGGGCGCAAGCCUGAUCC